ACGCAUCUUUCAACAAACCAACAGAAUGCAACGUCUUCCACCCUCUGGGGGAAGAGGAAAGCUCCUCAGUAAUGAUCAGGAGCUUGCCAUUGUAGAAAUGGUUACUGCAAAUAAUGCAAUAAAACUGCGUGAAAUUCAAACUAGAAUUGUGGCGGACCAUAAGAUAUUUGACAAUAUCGAUAGAAUCAGCCUCACAACCAUUACGCGGACAUUGUCCAAACACAGAGUGCGGAUGAAGCAGCUCUACACUGUUCCCUUUGAGAGGAACAGUGAGAGGGUCAAGGAGCUACGACGACAAUAUGUCCAGAGAGUUAUGGAAUUGGAGGCCAACCAGGCCCCUCAUAAAUUCAUAUACAUCGAUGAGGCAGGAUUCAAUCUGGCCAAAAGGCGUCGACGUGGACGAAAUGUAAUUGGAAAAAGGGCCACAGUUGAUGUGCCAGGACAGAGAGGGGCAAACAUUACCAUGUGUGCAGCAAUUGCAAAUGCAGGAUUAC
ensembl:lncRNA